ACAGCUCACUGGUCUAGUGGUUCCGCGCCGACAAUGUAGCGGGGCUCAAGCACACCACCGAAGACGCGGCAGUAGCUUUGCUACUGGGUAGGAGAGCGUCCCAUGCGGGGCGAAGCGGCGGCGCAAGCCCGCCGUGGACUGCAUGGGAGUGAGAAUGCAGACAUGAGUAGCGAAAGACGGGUGAAGAUCCCGUCCGCUGGACGACCAAGGGUUCCAGGGCCACGUUCAUCGUCCCUGGGUGAGUCGGGUCCUAAGGCGAGGCCGACAGGCGUAGUCGAAUGGAUGAACGGGUCGAUAUUCCCGUACCGGCAUGCAACCGACAAAACCGAAUCCGCGAGUACUAACCUCCGGGUCCGGGCUUACGUCUCCUUCGGGAGCCGGAUGCCCUGGCCUGUUGGGACCGUAACGGUAGUAGGUCAGCGCGGGAGUGACGCAGAAGGGUAGCCGGCCGCGGAGGUGGUCUUCCGUGGUCAAGCACGCAGCCCGUCCCACAGGCAAAUCCGUGGGGCGCGUGGGCGAGGUGCGAUGAUGGGCGCCGCAGGGCGCGAUAUCCGGUGAUCCCGGCUGCCGAGAAAAGCUUCGGCGUGAGGCGGCGUGCCGCCCGUACCCCAAACCGACACUGGUGGUCAGGUAGAGAAUACCAAAGCGAUCGAGCGAAUCCUGGUCAAGGAACUCGGCAAAUCACUCCCGUUCCUUCGGUUUAAGGGAGACCCCCGAUGGUGAAGCGGCUUGCCCGUGGAGCUUUUGGGGGUGGCACAGACCAGGGGGUAGCGACUGUUUACCAAAAACACAGGAGCGUGCGAAGGCGCAAGCCGCUGUAUACGCUCUGACGCCUGCCCGGUGCCGGAAGGUUAAGAGGAUCCGUCAGGCUUCGGCCGAAGCGGUGAAUUCAAGCCCCGGUAAACGGCGGUGGUAACUAUAACCAUCCUAAGGUAGCGAAAUUCCUUGUCGGGUAAGUUCCGACCUGCACGAAUGGCGUAACGACUUCCCCACUGUCUCGACCAGGAGCUCGGCGAAAUUGCAGUACGAGUAAAGAUGCUCGUUAAGCGCAGAAGGACGAAAAGACCCCGGGACCUUUACUAUACCUUGGUAUUGGCAUUCGGUGUGGAUUGUGUAGCAUAGGCGGAAGGCUUCGAAGCCACGGCGCCAGCCGCGGUGGAGCCGCAAGGUGAAAUACCGCUCUGUUCGCAUUGGAUGUCUAACCUCGACCAGUCAUCCUGGUCAGGGACAGUGCCUGGCGGGUAGUUUAACUGGGGCGGUUGCCUCCCAAAGAGUAACGGAGGCGCUCAAAGGUUCCCUCAGCCCGGUUGGCAAUCGGGUGGCGAGUGUAAGUGCACAAGGGAGCUUGACUGCGAGACUGACGGGUCGAGCAGGGACGAAAGUC
rnacentral:rRNA from 1 species